rnacentral:lncRNA from 10 species
UGGGACCACAGACGCCAGCCACCACGCCCGGCUAAUUUUUUGUUUUUGUUUUUUUAGUAGAGGCAGGGUUUCGCCGUGUUAGCCAGGAUGGUGUUGAUCUCCCGACCUUGUGAUCCGCCCGCCUCAGCCUCCCAAAGUGCUGGGAUUACAAGCGUGAGCCACUGUGCCCAGCCUCCCCAGGCUGGUCUUGAAUUCCUGAGCUCAAGUGAUUGGCCCGCCUCUGUCUCCCAAAGUGUUGGAAUUCCAGGUGUGUGCCACUGUGCCGGGCCCCUUAAUUUUAGCACUAGAAAGGGUCUUGCACCUUACCUAUUCCAAUCCCCUCACUAAAGACAGAAGAAAGCUGAGGCCAGAGAGGAAUAUAGUGACCUGUCAGGCUCAUGCAGCAAAUUAGCAGAGCCAACAUGAACACUUGCUCCAACUCCAGAUUCGGUGCUCUUAACAGCCGGAUGAUCUUGUUAUUCUUCAUCCAGGCCCUGUUCUCUCUAAUGUUAUAAAUGAGAGAAGGGACAAUUGGAGGGAGCACGUGGCCUGAAACCAAAGAGCUAGGAGAGGAAAGGUGGCCAACAUCCAGAUGGAGUUAUGAAAGCUGUUUGAAGUCACUUCCCUGUGAGUCAAGGUUGGCUUGGGUGUGUGGAUCAACUUGCUUCUUCAGCCCCCGGCCUUCCAAAUUAGCCCCAUCUAGCUCUCCCUGACUGCCACAGACUUCCAGCUCCUCCCACUCUGCUGAGAUACUAUACCUAGGCUUAGCCCCUUCUGCUUGCCUGUCCAUCCCCACUCAAAGCUAGAGGGCAAACCCAUUUCCAAGGAAGCCAGGAGAAUAAGGAAGGAGGGUGGAAACUUGAGAGAAAGUUGCUCCUCCAGAUAAAGACGAAUUUCUGUGCUCAGGGCUAGAGGCCCUCCCUUGCACCCCUGUCGGGCUCUGAUUCUGAAAGGUAACAUGGAAGGAGUUCUACCCCAGUCUCCUCCAGCCUUCUCCACAGACGCACUCCACGGCCACCUCUAUUCCUUAAAUGAGACUUGGGUUAAGCCAGUCUCAUUCCUUGACUCAGCAAGCAUUUAGACAUGUCCCGUGUACUAGGUCCCGUGCAAGAUUCAGUGGCAAACAGUGCAGGUGCACACCCUGCCCUUCGGUGUUGAAGGUCCAGCAGUGGAGACUCUGAACAAGGAAUGACAAUGAGUGUUAAAGGACAAGGGGAGUGCAGGGUGGCUCCUUCCUCCUCUGGGGGUGCUAGGUCUAUGUGGGGACCUGGGUUAGCUGGAGAGAUGAGAGGGUGAGUUUGGAGAGGCACGUGGAUCAGUCCUGACUGGAUCCAAAGGCCAGGAAGACAUUCAGAUUUCAGGACACUGUUUUUUCUUUUCUUUUCUUUUCUUUUCUUUUUUCUUUUUCUUUCUUUCUUUUUUUUUUUUUUUUUUUUUUUUUUUUUUUUUUUUUUUGAGACAGAGUCUCUCUGUGUUGCCAGGCUGGAGUGCAGUGGCGUGCCCUCGGCUCACUGCAACCUCCACCUCCUGGGUUCAAGUGAUUCUCCUGCCUCAGCCUCCCGAGUAUCUGGGACUACAGGCGUGCGCCAUCACACCUGGCUAAUUUUUGUAUUUUUAGUAGAGACAGGGUUUCACCAUGUUGGCCAGAAUGGUCUCGAUCUCCUGACCUCGUGAUCCGCCCGCCUUGGACUCCUAAAGUGCUGAGAUUACAGGUGUGAGCCACCGUGCCCGGCUAGGACACUGGUUUUUUCAUCCUGCUGUCAUUUCUGUGGUUUGUUUAUUAACAGCUUUAUUGAGGUAUAAUUUACAAACUAUAAAAUUAACCCACUGUAGGUAUAGUUUGGCUAUUUAUUUUUAAAAGUAAAUGUGUGUAGGCCAGGCCUACACGCCUGGCCUCUAAUAUCUUGAUCCCGGAAGGUGGAGGCUGCAGUGAGCCAAGAUCCCACCACUGCACUCCAGCCUGGGUGACAGUGAGACUCUGUCUCAAAAAAAAAAAAAAAAAAGUAAAUUUGUAUAGUUAUGUAAACAUCCCACAACUCACAACUUAAUGUUCAGCAUCCCAAAAAGAUUAUUUGUGCUCUUUUGCAGUCAAUCUCUGUUCCCACAUCCAACCCUGGGCAACUACUGAUCAAUCUACUUGCUUUGUUUUUUUUUUAUUUUUUAUUUUUGGAGACAGAGCCUUGCUCUGUCGCCCAGGCUGGAGUGCAGUGGCGCGAUCUCAGCUCACUGAAACCUCCGCCUCCCGGGUUCAAGCAAUUCUUAUGCCUCAGCCUCCUGAGUAACUAGGACUAUAGGUGCCUGCCACCACGCCCAGCUAAUUUUGCUAUUUUUAGUAGAGACGAGGUUUCACCAUGUUGGCCAGGCUGGUCUCAAACUCCUGGCCUCAUGUUAUCUGCCCACCUUGGCCUCCC